rnacentral:lncRNA from 1 species
CCGAGUAGCUGGGAUUACAGGCAUGCACCACCACGCUUGGCUAAUUUUGUAUUUUUAUUAGAGACGGGGUGUCUCCAUGGUCAGGCUGGUCUCCAACUCCCGACCUCAGGUGAUCCGCCCGCCUCGGCCUCCCAAAGUGCUGGGAUUACAGGUGUGAGCCGCCGCACCCGGCCCUAUGGAGCAAAUUCUAAAGGCCUACCCUGUGCAGGGAGGGCAGGGAACUGCCAGAUGAGCAAGAUAGAGACCUGGGUCCCAGAUCUGCCCUCAGGGAGCCACCAUCUCCAGAGAGGGGGAUGGUGAGUAAAGAAGCAAAGGCUGUGUGCUUAGCUGCACCUAAUCCAGCACAUAGGCUGGGUGUAUCUUGGUCAGGGAGGGCUUUCAAGGAAGAUUGUUCCAGAUGGAGGAAGCAACCACAUGUAGAGGGCUGGAAGUCCAGGGCAGGUUAAAAGGGCAGACAGGCCAGGCGCAGUGGCUCACGCCUAUAUCCCAGCACUUUGGGAGGCCCAGGCAGGCAGAUCACUUGAGGUCAGGGGUUCGGGACCAGCCUGGUCAACAUGAUGAAACCCCAUCUCUAUAUUAAAAACAAAAAUUAGCCUGGCGUGGUGGUGGGCACCUGUAACCCCAGCUACUCGGGAGGCUGAGGCAGGAGAAUCGCUUGAAACCUGGGAGGCGGAGGUUGCAGUGGGCUGAGCGCUCAUGUCACUGCACUCCAGCCUGGGCAACAGAGUGAGACUGUCUCAAAUAAAUAAGGGCAGGCAGCGAAGCUGCAGGGUUGGGGAGAGGGGUUAGAGUUGUUAGAAUCCUUUGUGGGCUCUUCUAUUUUUACGCCUCCAGAGAGGAGCAAGCUCCAUUUGGAGGUCCGAGUAUCAAGUCAAACCCACUUCCUUAGGCUGCCAUUAAUGUCCACAAUGUACGGCGCACUUCUAUGUGUCAGGCCCUGUGCAAAGCGCUUUAUGUGCAUGAUUUCAUUAAAUCCUUCUAUUCAAAGCACGUACCUUGUUUUUUUAAAAUCCUCCUAUUCAAAGCAGGUACUAUUUUUUUUUUUUUUUUUUUGAGAUGGAGUUUUGCUCUUGUUGCCCAGGCUGGAGUGCAGUAGCCCAAUCUCGGCUCACUGCAAUCUGC